AAAGAAACUAACAAGGAUUCCCCUAGUAACGGCGAGUGAAGCGGGAAAAGCUCAAAUUUGUAAUCUGGCGCCUUUGGCGUCCGAGUUGUAAUCUCGAGAAGUAUUUUCCGCGCUGGACCGCACAUAAGUCUGUUGGRAUACAGCGUCAUAGUGGUGAGAACCCCGUAUAGGGUGCGGAUGCCCAGUGCUUUGUGAUAUACUUUCGAAGAGUCGAGUUGUUUGGGAAUGCAGCUCAAAUUGGGUGGUAAAUUYCAUCUAAAGCUAAAUAUUGGCGAGAGACCGAUAGCGAACAAGUACCGUGAGGGAAAGAUGAAARGCUACUUUGGAAAGAGAGUUAACAGUACGUGAAAUUGUUGGAAGGGAAACGCUUGAAGUCAGACUUGCAUUUUGGAGUUCAGCCGUAAGGUGUAUUCUUCAAUUCGCAGGCCAGCAUCAGUUUUUGGGGGUGGAAAAUCGUGGUUUGAAGGUAGCAGUCUCGGCUGUGUUAUAGCUUUCCACUGGAUUCACUUUUGGGGAACUGAGGAACGCAGUACGCUUUUUGCAAGAUUCUCGGAUCUUUCGUACUUAGGAUGCUGGUGGAAUGGCUUUAAACGACCCGUCUUGAAACACGGACCAAGGAGUCUAACAUGUUUGCGAGUGUUUGGGUGUCAAACCCGGACGCGUAAUGAAAGUGAAUGGAGGUGGGAUCCGCAAGGUGCACCAUCGACCGAUCUGGAUUUUCUAAGAUGGAUUUGAGUAAGAGCAAUUAUGUUGGGACCCGAAAGAUGGUGAACUAUGCCUGAAUAGGGUGAAGCCAGAGGAAACUCUGGUGGAGGCUCGUAGCGGUUCUGACGUGCAAAUCGAUCGUCAAAUUUGGGUAUAGGGGCGAAAGACUAAUCGAACCAUCUAAAUGUUGCUUGGUGGUUAAUAGGGACUUCAAAGUAGAGCCCUAGUGGGAGUGGUAACUUGCGACACUUUCAAAUUGCGGGGACGCCCUUAGAGCUCUAAUUACGGCGGCUCAUCGAAAGAUAGAGUGCAGCAGCAGGUUAAUGGCCUCGCGGAUCGUAAAAACAUUAGAGAUUGGGUAAUCCGCAGCCAAGUCCUAAGUAGCGCCUUGGAGUCGCUAUAUGGAUGCAGUUCAUCGACUAAAUGGAAGUGGGUGUCCUUUCUUAACCGGAAGGGUGCUUGAGAUAUAGUCAGCCCCUCGUGAGAGCGAGCUAAUGGGACGAAGAUUCGAUUCGUUUUUACCACUAUAAACGACGUUUCCCGAGCCCAUUGGGGUCUAAUAAGAGGACAUAGUAAACCUCUUGAAGACUGGAUUACGUGCUAGUAGCUGGUUCCUGCCGAAGUUUCCCUCAGGAUAGCAGAAACUCACAUCAGUUCUAUGAGGUAAAGCGAAUGAUUAGAGGCCUUGGGGUUGAAACAACCUUAACCUAUUCUCAAACUUUAAAUAUGUAGGAAGUCCUUGCUACUUAAUGAG
rnacentral:rRNA from 1 species